UACGUAGGGUGCAAGCGUUGUCCGGAAUUAUUGGGCGUAAAGAGCUCGUAGGCGGUUUGUCGCGUCUGGUGUGAAAAAUCCAGGGCUUAACCCUGGACCUGCAUCGGGUACGGGCAGACUAGAGUGCGGUAGGGGGAGAUCGGAAUUCCUGGUGUAGCGGUGAAAUGCGCAGAUAUCAGGAGGAACACCGGUGGCGAAGGCGGAUCUCUGGGCCGUAACUGACGCUGAGGAGCGAAAGCAUGGGGAGCGAACG
rnacentral:rRNA from 1 species